rnacentral:sRNA from 1 species
UGACCUUUUAGGUCACCUAGCCAACUGACGUUGUUAGUGAACUUCGUGUUCGCAACCGUAGCCAAUAGUGAAAACGCUGUUGGCUUUUUUUUG